AGAGUUUGAUUUUGGCUCAGAACGAACGCUGGCGGCGCGUUUUAAGCAUGCAAGUCGAGCGGCAGGGGGGCUUCGGUCCCCCGAGAGCGGCGGACGAGUGAGUAACACGUGGACAACCUGCCCCCCGGUUCGGGAUAGCCCAGGGAAACCUGGAUCAAUACCGGAUGCGAGGGCGGCCGCACAAGCGGCCGUCGGGAAAGGCGCUUCGGCGCCGCCGGGGGAUGGGUCCGCGUCCCAUUAGCUAGACGGUGGGGUAACGGCCCACCGUGGCGAUGAUGGGUAGCCGGCCUGAGAGGGUGGACGGCCACAUUGGAACUGAGACACGGUCCAGACUCCUACGGGAGGCAGCAGCUAAGAAUCUUCCGCAAUGGGCGAAAGCCUGACGGAGCGACGCCGCGUGAACGAAGAAGGCCGUGAGGUUGUAAAGUUCUUUUCGGGAGGGGGAACGAGGCUGCCAGGCAAUGGGCGGCCGAUGACGUGAGUCCCGGAAUAAGCCCCGGCUAACUACGUGCCAGCAGCCGCGGUAACACGUAGGGGGCGAGCGUUGUUCGGAAUCAUUGGGCGUAAAGGGCGUGCAGGCGGCCGCCAAAGUCCGGCGUGAAAGACCCAGGCUCAACCUGGGGGGUGCGCCGGAUACUGGGCGGCUUGAGUACAGGAGGGGACGGCGGAAUUCCAGGUGUAGGGGUGAAAUCUGUAGAUAUCUGGAGGAACACCGAUGGCGAAGGCAGCCGUCUGGCCAUGUACUGACGCUGAGGCGCGAAGGUGCGGGGAGCAAACAGGUUUAGAUACCCUGGUAGUCCGCACAG
rnacentral:rRNA from 1 species